rnacentral:piRNA from 1 species
UGGCGCCGAUCCAAAUAUUACGGAUGUC